rnacentral:rRNA from 1 species
GACGAACGCUGGCGGCGUGCCUAAUACAUGCAAGUUGAGCGAUGAAGCUUGGUGCUUGCACCAAUUUGAAGAGCAGCGAACGGGUGAGUAACGCGUGGGGAAUCUGCCUUUGAGCGGGGGACAACAUUUGGAAACGAAUGCUAAUACCGCAUAAUAACUUUAAACAUAAGUUUUAAGUUUGAAAGAUGCAAUUGCAUCACUCAAAGAUGAUCCCGCGUUGUAUUAGCUAGUUGGUGAGGUAAAGGCUCACCAAGGCGAUGAUACAUAGCCGACCUGAGAGGGUGAUCGGCCACAUUGGGACUGAGACACCGCCCAAACUCCUACGGGAGGCAGCAGUAGGGAAUCUUCGGCAAUGGACGAAAGUCUGACCGAGCAACGCCGCGUGAGUGAAGAAGGGUUUCGGGUCGUAAAACUCUGUUGGUAGAGAAGAACGUUAGUGAGAGUGGAAAGCUCAUCAAGUGACGGUAACUACCCAGAAAGGGACGGCUAACUACGUG